rnacentral:rRNA from 1 species
GAUGAACGCUAGCUACAGGCUUAACACAUGCAAGUCGAGGGGCAGCAUGUCGGUUGCUUGCAACCGAUGAUGGCGACCGGCGCACGGGUGAGUAACGCGUAUCCAACCUACCCUUGUCCAUCGGAUAACCCGUCGAAAGGCGGCCUAACACGAUAUGCGGUUCUCAGCAGGCAUCUAACGAGAACGAAAUGUGAAGGAGAAGGAUGGGGAUGCGUCUGAUUAGCUUGUUGGCGGGGUAACGGCCCACCAAGGCAACGAUCAGUAGGGGUUCUGAGAGGAAGGUCCCCCACAUUGGAACUGAGACACGGUCCAAACUCCUACGGGAGGCAGCAGUGAGGAAUAUUGGUCAAUGGACGGGAGUCUGAACCAGCCAAGUAGCGUGCAGGAUGACGGCCCUAUGGGUUGUAAACUGCUUUUAUAGGGGGAUAAAGUGUGCCACGUGUGGCAUAUUGCAGGUACCCUAUGAAUAAGGACCGGCUAAGUUCCGUGCCAGCAGCCG